rnacentral:rRNA from 1 species
CAUCCCGACUUACCAACCCGAUGCAAACUGCGAAUACCGGAGAAUGUUAUCACGGGAGACACACGGCGGGUGCUAACGUCCGUCGUGAAGAGGGAAACAACCCAGACCGCCAGCUAAGGUCCCAAAGUCAUGGUUAAGUGGGAAACGAUGUGGGAAGGCCCAGACAGCCAGGAUGUUGGCUUAGAAGCAGCCAUCAUUUAAAGAAAGCGUAAUAGCUCACUGGUCGAGUCGGCCUGCGCGGAAGAUGUAACGGGGCUAAACCAUGCACCGAAGCUGCGGCAGCGACACUAUGUGUUGUUGGGUAGGGGAGCGUUCUGUAAGCCUGUGAAGGUGGCCUGUGAGGGUUGCUGGAGGUAUCAGAAGUGCGAAUGCUGACAUAAGUAACGAUAAAGCGGGUGAAAAGCCCGCUCGCCGGAAGACCAAGGGUUCCUGUCCAACGUUAAUCGGGGCAGGGUGAGUCGACCCCUAAGGCGAGGCCGAAAGGCGUAGUCGAUGGGAAACAGGUUAAUAUUCCUGUACUUGGUGUUACUGCGAAGGGGGGACGGAGAAGGCUAUGUUGGCCGGGCGACGGUUGUCCCGGUUUAAGCGUGUAGGCUGGUUUUCCAGGCAAAUCCGGAAAACUAAGGCUGAGGCGUGAUGACGAGGCACUACGGUGCUGAAGCAACAAAUGCCCUGCUUCCAGGAAAAGCCUCUAAGCAUCAGGUAACAUCAAAUCGUACCCCAAACCGACACAGGUGGUCAGGUAGAGAAUACCAAGGCGCUUGAGAGAACUCGGGUGAAGGAACUAGGCAAAAUGGUGCCGUAACUUCGGGAGAAGGCACGCUGAUAUGUAGGUGAAGCGACUUGCUCGUGGAGCUGAAAUCAGUCGAAGAUACCAGCUGGCUGCAACUGUUUAUUAAAAACACAGCACUGUGCAAACACGAAAGUGGACGUAUACGGUGUGACGCCUGCCCGGUGCCGGAAGGUUAAUUGAUGGGGUUAGCGGUAACGCGAAGCUCUUGAUCGAAGCCCCGGUAAACGGCGGCCGUAACUAUAACGGUCCUAAGGUAGCGAAAUUCCUUGUCGGGUAAGUUCCGACCUGCACGAAUGGCGUAAUGAUGGCCAGGCUGUCUCCACCCGAGACUCAGUGAAAUUGAACUCGCUGUGAAGAUGCAGUGUACCCGCGGCAAGACGGAAAGACCCCGUGAACCUUUACUAUAGCUUGACACUGAACAUUGAGCCUUGAUGUGUAGGAUAGGUGGGAGGCUUUGAAGUGUGGACGCCAGUCUGCAUGGAGCCGACCUUGAAAUACCACCCUUUAAUGUUUGAUGUUCUAACGUUGACCCGU